UUUUUUUUUUUAAUUUAGAAUUAAAGUUUUUAAACUGGAAGAUAAUUAUAAUUUUGAAAACUUUAAAGAUGAUCUCAUUUGGUUUAUACAUACACAAGGAAGAUUUUUGUCUUGUCUCUAGCAGUUUCCAUAUUUUGGUCAUAGUUUAAACAUGUUAACAUGUGAAUUAAUAGGGUUUCAUGUGGUUUCAGAUUUUUAUUGUUCGACUGUACAAUGGAACCUUAAGUCAUAUAUACAUAUAUAGAUUAUCCUGAGGGGGGAUGUUAUAUUUUUCUGUUUCUAUAAGAGAUGAAUACAGUGGAUACUUUUUUAUUGGUAAUGACUGAGUUCACUUCUUUCAGAAGACAUCUUCUCUUCUGAGUAGUUGAGACAAAAAUCUGGCCCCUGUGAGACCCUGGGAAUCUUUCAGUCUGUUGAAAUACCAGGUUAAACACAUUCCAAGAGAUCUGUGCAAACUAAAUUCUUUUGUAUACUUCUAAGGUGCCUGAGACAACAAGACUUCAUUUAUUUAUGGAAAGUGUGCUUUAUCUUGGGAGUUGUGCUCAAGCAUUAGCUUGCUGUCUGUAGAAUGAGUGCUUCGGAGCCUGACAUGAAACCAUCUCAAGAGCCCACAGGUCCCAUAACAUUCGGUUGCUUUUCUGAACACUGUCAACAUCACAUCUGUCUUUCUGAAUAAUCCUAUAUGCCGCAUGGCACUGGUGUGAAACAUCACUGUACUGGAAGAAUUAGUAGAGGACUUCAGUAAUGUACCUGAGCUAAAAUGACCGAGGCGUUAGGGGUGCACAGAAACCACCAUGAUUUGUAUAACAUUUUGAAGUGAAUUAAUAUUUUUGAACAUGCUUCUUCAACAGCCAGUGUUAUAUUUUUCAGAUCAACACAAAGCACAAUGGUUACUACUCUAUAAACUCAAUAUUUUCAAAUUCACAUAUUUAAAGUCAUGCAAGCUGCAACUUCCCUGUCAGAAUUACUGGCUGCCAAAUUUAUACCUGUUUCUUCAGCUGUACUUUUUGAUAUUUAGAAUUUUUAAAUUUCUGUAAAGUAGGUUUUGUAGACUGUAAUGUGUUCACUGCCUUUGUGAAGCGGUAUAUUGUAUAAUUUCGUGUGUAACUGAAUGCUUGGGCUUUCAAUACAGUAUUCAUAUAAAGCAAUAAAUAUUAAUGUUAUGAAAUAUUGGAGUACAUUUUUAUCAAAAUACAAAAUCUCUUUUUUAGUUUCAGACAUCUGAGGUACAGGGAUGGACCUAAUAGCUGAUACAAACAGUUUCUCACACUUUAUCUAUCCUAAGCUUCGGGUGAUCAGAGGGAAACCACAAGGUUUGCAUUUUGACUGCUUAGACGUUACUAUGGCUAAAAAGAUAUUUGGCUCCGUUUGUUCAUAAAGUAAUAUGCUACUGACUGAUGACCUUCAGGUUCACAGCAGCUGGACAGUAGAUUUAUGAAUCUGUCUAGUAAAACUGUCGAUUUACUGUACCCAAAGGGGUGAAAGUCAAAUGUAACUUCAAGUUUUUUGGCAAAAAGAUUAAAAUGAAGCAAAAUUUAAGUGUGACAUUCAUUUGUAAUGGCCUGUUAGAGUUGAGGGAUUGACAGUAAGAGCAGAUUUUAAACAUUUUAGGUUUAGAGUUUUUGAGAUUUUCCUUAGGAUAUUUAUGAGGUUGUUGUCAAUAAACCUGUUCUCUAAGCUCCUGUGACCUUUGAUAGUCUUUAUUUAUGGUGCCAUGGACCAUUUACAAACAAGUCAGUUUGCUGUUGGUUAAAAGUUGAAGAUUUCGCAUCAUGAAUAGAGGUCUGUGGCUUUAUUUGUAAACUUGCAAUUGCUAUCUUUGCAAGGGGAAGUGUAUUUCUUUAUUAAAUAAAGUACAAUUAAUAAUGGUGAAUGUACCAAAAUGACAUCACUCAAUUCUAUGAGAGGUCUGCAUUUUAACCUAUAGUUUAAUAGCUUUAAUAUUUAUUAGCUAUUCCUAUGUUGAUCAUAGAUGAAAGUUGUUGCUGUUUAUACAGAUACACGUAGGAUACUGGUGAAGGGUCUCUAGGGCAGUUGUAAUAUUCAUCACCGUGUGAGGCCAUGUUCAGACUGUGGAUGCAUUGGUCCCUUGGAAGUCCAUUUCCACACGUGGUGUUAGAUGCACUUACAGGAGACUGCAGGAAAGUGUCAGUUCUAAUGAGCACUGAGUCCUUUGUGAGUGACAGAAUGAGACCCAAGAGGGAGGGUCAAGCCGUCCCGUGGCUGAAGUAGCUGGCUCUUUGAUGUUGAACAGAUUCCUAACCGGGUUCUCCUUUCCCAAGCCUAACUCAGAUCUGGGCAGUGCUGAUGGUGCUGACAGAAUACACAUGACAUGGUUUUGCCACCCCUCCCUUUUAAAAAGUGAAAACAUUUUGAAAACUCUAUAAAGUUCUGUACAUGUAGAACAGAAGUGAGUAGUGAAAAUAUAUUUUGAGGAUUAGUAAACUUAAUCCACUUAAUUGUCACAACUCCGGUCUUUCCCAUAUGUAGCCAGAGCAAUGGAGUUACAACUCUGGCUUUCGAAAGCUAUUCCAGAAACCCUGCCCCAGAAAGUCUUAAAGCAUUGAGAUCCUUGUGUUUUAUUUUGGCAGUGUAGAUAGGCAUGUAUUUAUGCAUUUGUAAAAUCAAUUUUUUUCAAAUAAUGUAUGUAAUGUACUAGCUUAAACGGUACUGGGCAGAGCCUAGAGCUACUGCGAGGAUUGAAUGUGAAGCCGGUAUCGCGGGUGGAAAUGUACCUGCAGAGCUACAGCAAACUAUUCCGGGUAGUGUUUCAGGCUGCCUUUGAGCAGGAGUUUCUUAGAUCUAUUGGUUUUGACAAACUGAAGAUCAGUUCUUGAGAUUUGUGUUAAUCAUGAGAUGAAUGGAUGCAAAAAACACCUUGUAAUUUCAUGUGGAAUUAUGAAAAUUAGCUUGAUGGGAUAUUGGCCUAACAAGGAUGAUGGUAUGUACUGGCUAGAAUACAUAUAUUUCACAUAUAAAAAAUAAUCCGGACACCAGAAUUCUCUUCUUUCAAUUUGGAGCCUAGAUCGAUCACUUUGCCAAAUAAAUGUAUUAUUUUCAUAAUGCAAUAAAGUGUAAACUAGAUG
rnacentral:lncRNA from 1 species